rnacentral:rRNA from 1 species
GCACCUUCGGGUGUGUAUAAAGUGGCGAACGGCUGAGUAACACGUGGGCAACCUGCCCCUCUCAUUGGGAUAGCCACGGGAAACCGUGGAUAAUACCGAAUACUUCGAGACUUCCGCAUGGAAGACUCGAGAAAGCUCCGGCGGAGAGGGAUGGGCCCGCGGCCUGUUAGCUUGUUGGUGGGGUAACGGCCUACCAAGGCAAUGAUGGGUAGCUGGGUUGAGAGACCGACCAGCCAGAUUGGGACUGAGACACGGCCCAGACUCCUACGGGAGGCAGCAGUGGGGAAUCUUGCACGAUGGGCGAAAGCCUGAUGCAGCGACGCCGCGUGCGGGAUGAAGGCCUUCGGGUUGUAAACCGCUUUCAGCAGGGACGAGGCGAAAGUGACGGUACCUGCAGAAGAAGCCCCGGCUAACUACGUGCCAGCAGCCGCGGUAAUACGUAGGGGGCAAGCGUUAUCCGGAUUCAUUGGGCGUAAAGCGCUCGUAGGCGGUCUGUUAGGUCGGGAGUUAAAUCCGGGGGCUCAACCCCCGUUCGCUCCCGAUACCGGCAGACUUGAGUUUGGUAGGGGAAGGUGGAAUUCCUAGUGUAGCGGUGGAAUGCGCAGAUAUUAGGAAGAACACCAGUGGCGAAGGCGGCCUUCUGGGCCAUAACUGACGCUGAGGAGCGAAAGCUAGGGGAGCAAACAGGAUUAGAUACCCUGGUAGUCCUAGCCGUAAACGAUGGACACUAGGUGUGG